AAUAACAUCCCUUACCUCGAAAGACAGUACUUCUAGUUGAAACACCGGAUAUAGGCUAUGACUUGAACUUGCACCGUAUAACAAUACUCAAAGUAUACUCAAAAUACUCACAAGAAUACGCUCGAUAAUAUAGAGAGAGAAAACUUCAGUUUCUGGUGUAAUUUUCAAUUCUAACCUAAGCACCCUAUUUAUAGGAAAAUGCUUAGAACACCAAAGUAGAAAAUUUAAUUUAAUAAUAUUAU
rnacentral:lncRNA from 1 species